UACGUAGGUGGCAAGCGUUGUCCGGAUUUACUGGGCGUAAAGGGCGUGCAGGCGGUCUGUUAAGUGCAGGGUGAAAGCUCCCGGCUCAACUGGGAGAGGUCCUUGCAUACUGGCGGACUUGAGGGGGGUAGAGGAAAGUGGAAUUCCCGGUGUAGUGGUGAUAUGCGUAGAUAUCGGGAGGAACACCUGUGGCGAAGGCGGCUUUCUGGGCCCUACCUGACGCUGAGACGCGAAAGCGUGGGGAGCAAACAGG
rnacentral:rRNA from 1 species